rnacentral:lncRNA from 7 species
GAAGAGGAGCACCUAUAAAGGUGAUGUGAUGAGUACAUGCCUGUUUCCAUGUUGUGAUCAUCUUUCAGUAGAUGUCUUCUCCUCAUGCUGGCUGCAAGGCUGUCUGGGCUGCUGUAGGAAUUGCAGACUGUUUCUAGGGGAAAUUCUGCACAGGGAAACAUUGUUUAAAAUAACAUGUAAACCAUGUUUAUCAUGAAAGAGAAGAGAAAUGAAAACCCUGGACCCAGAGAGGAAUGACAGUCAAGUGGGAAGCAGUGGGUGCAGUGUGUUGAGCUCAGCCCACACAGUGCUGAAGUUUUGUGGAGUGACACAGAGCCUGAGACCUUAUGCUGCUUGGAGACUGCUGCCAUUGGUAUCACAGGGACAAGUAUCUUGAGACUUCUGCCUGGUUCCUUUCGUUUGGCCCAAACUUGUUCUCUGAUUGCCCUCAGUGUAUGUAGGGCUCUAGGACAGGGACACUCACCUGACACCUAUAUGACAAGGUGCUCUGUGCAGAGGCAGCAUUUCUAUUGGUCUCCAUGUUUGUUUGUUUGUUUUUUUGGUGGGUGAACAAUUGUUGGAUGUUUCUAGCACCUUUGAGCUCGUUAAUCAUAGCUGUGAAUUCAGUCCCACCAAGGCAUGAUGUAGGGCUGUCAGGUGUUUAUCAUUUAAUCCUGAUGAACUAUUGGGCUCUCCCAGUGAGGUGCUCCUGUUGGGUCUGCUUCUCAGUUUUGCUGCGUCACAGUGUUAGGAAGGGGUGUUGGUGUGUUCUGCUCUGCCGUGCGUGGCUAACUUUUCAGUCUGUGGAAUGUGCUACUGAAAUACCCUCAGCAGUUCUGUACCUGUAAGUACUCAUGGUGCUUUCUAUGUGAUUGUGUGACUAAAAUUAUUCUCUAAGGUUACAGUCUGAGUAAAAAUUCAGCUACUAUUUCCAUGCUGAAUCUUCUCCUGUACUUGAAAUGUCAUCCUAUUCCAUCCACCCAUCAAUUUAAAAUGACUGAUGUCAAUUCCAGAGUGGGACUGUUGCUCUUCUGGGACACUUUUAGUUGUGAGCCAGCAUUUCUCCUGUUUAUAUUUCAGUCUUCCUCUGUAUGUAAGUUUUGGGUUCUCAGUAAGAGUCUGUGUUUCUACUGUUCUUAGGAAGAAGAGAGUCACAUUUAUGAAUAGGGAUUAUAGGUUGUAAAACAAUCAUAGUAAAAAAUGAGGCGUGUACAUAUCUGGACCGUGCUGCUAAUCAUGUAAUAGGACGCAACUGAAAUUAAAUGUCUCUUUUUUCUC